GAUGAACGCUGGCGGCGUGCCUAAUACAUGCAAGUCGAGCGAAUGGACGAGAAGCUUGCUUCUCUGAUGUUAGCGGCGGACGGGUGAGUAACACGUGGAUAACCUACCUAUAAGACUGGGAUAACUUCGGGAAACCGGAGCUAAUACCGGAUAAUAUUUUGAACCGCAUGGUUCAAAAGUGAAAGACGGUCUUGCUGUCACUUAUAGAUGGAUCCGCGCUGCAUUAGCUAGUUGGUAAGGUAACGGCUUACCAAGGCAACGAUGCAUAGCCGACCUGAGAGGGUGAUCGGCCACACUGGAACUGAGACACGGUCCAGACUCCUACGGGAGGCAGCAGUAGGGAAUCUUCCGCAAAGGGCGAAAGCCUGACGGAGCAACGCCGCGUGAGUGAUGAAGGUCUUCGGAUCGUAAAACUCUGUUAUUAGGGAAGAACAUAUGUGUAAGUAACUGUGCACAUCUUGACGGUACCUAAUCAGAAAGCCACGGCUAACUACGUG
rnacentral:rRNA from 1 species